rnacentral:rRNA from 1 species
GACGAACGCUGGCGGCGUGCUUAACACAUGCAAGUCGAACGGAAAGGCCCUGCUUUUGUGGGGUGCUCGAGUGGCGAACGGGUGAGUAACACGUGAGUAACCUGCCCUUGACUUUGGGAUAACUUCAGGAAACUGGGGCUAAUAUCGGAUAGGAGCUCCUGCUGCAUGGUGGGGGUUGGAAAGUUUCGGCGGGUGGGGAUGGACUCGCGGCUUAUCAGCUUGUUGGUGGGGUAGUGGCUUACCAAGGCUUUGACGGGUAGGCGGCCUGAGAGGGUGACCGGCCACAUUGGGACUGAGAUACGGCCCAGACUCCUACGGGAGGCAGCAGGGGGAAAUAUUGCACAAUGGGCGGAAGCCUGAUGCAGCAACGCCGCGUGCGGGAUGACGGCCUUCGGGGUGUAAACCGCUUUCGCCUGUGACGAAGCGUGAGUGACGGUAAUGGGUAAAGAAGCACCGGCUAACUACGUG